AAGGGUUUAGCUUAAUUAAAGUGAUUGAUUUGUGUUCAGUUGAUGCAGAGUGAAGUUUUGCAAUCCUUG
rfam:Papio anubis isolate 1X1155 chromosome 3, whole genome shotgun sequence.